rnacentral:RNase_P_RNA from 1 species
CAGGCAAGUUGGAUAGUCGCUUUUUCCUUGUGGAAAAGAGGAAAGUCCGAACACCAUAGAGCAGCGAGCCGGAUAAUUUCCGGGGGACGCCUCAGGGCAUCAACGAAAAGUGCAACAGAGAAUAGACCAGCCAUUCAUUUGGUGAUGGGUGAAACGGUGAGGUAAGAGCUCACCAG